AUGAACGCUAGCGGCAGGCUUUAACACAUGCAAGUCGAGGGGUAUAGUUCUUCGGAACUAGANACCGGGCGCACGGGUGCGUAACGCGUAUGCAAUCUACCUUUUACAGAGGGAUAGCCCAGAGAAAUUUGGAUUAAUACCUCAUAGUAUGUGAGAAUCGCAUGGUUUUUCACAUUAAAGUUCCAACGGUAAAAGAUGAGCAUGCGUCCCAUUAGCUAGAUGGUAAGGUAACGGCUUACCAUGGCGACGAUGGGUAGGGGUCCUGAGAGGGAGAUCCCCCACACUGGUACUGAGACACGGACCAGACUCCUACGGGAGGCAGCAGUGAGGAAUAUUGGACAAUGGGCGCAAGCCUGAUCCAGCCAUGCCGCGUGCAGGAUGACGGUCCUAUGGAUUGUAAACUGCUUUUGUACAGGAAGAAACACUCCCUCGUGAGGGAGCUUGACGGUACUGUAAGAAUAAGGAUCGGCUAACUCCGUG
rnacentral:rRNA from 1 species